CCAGAUGAUCCCUUCGGGGUGAUUCUGGUGGAAUGAGCGGCGGACGGGUGAGUAACACGUGGGCAACCUGCCUGUAAGACUGGGAUAACUUCGGGAAACCGGAGCUAAUACCGGAUAGUAUUUCCUUUCUCCUGAUUGGAAAUGGAAAGACGGUUUCGGCUGUCACUUACAGAUGGGCCCGCGGUGCAUUAGCUAGUUGGUGGGGUAAUGGCCCACCAAGGCGACGAUGCAUAGCCGACCUGAGAGGGUGAUCGGCCACACUGGGACUGAGACACGGCCCAGACUCCUACGGGAGGCAGCAGUAGGGAAUCUUCCGCAAUGGACGAAAGUCUGACGGAGCAACGCCGCGUGAGCGAUGAAGGCCUUCGGGUCGUAAAGCUCUGUUGUUAGGGAAGAACAAGUACGAGAGUAACUGCUCGUACCUUGACGGUACCUAACCAGAAAGCCCCGGCUAACUACGUGCCAGCAGCCGCGGUAAUACGUAGGGGGCAAGCGUUGUCCGGAAUUAUUGGGCGUAAAGGGCUCGUAGGCGGUUUCUUAAGUCUGAUGUGAAAGCCCACAGCUCAACUGUGGAGGGUCAUUGGAAACUGGGGAACUUGAGUGCAGAAGAGGAGAGUGGAAUUCCACGUGUAGCGGUGAAAUGCGUAGAUAUGUGGAGGAACACCAGUGGCGAAGGCGACUCUCUGGUCUGUAACUGACGCUGAGGAGCGAAAGCGUGGGGAGCAAACAGGAUUAGAUACCCUGGUAGUCCACGCCGUAAACGAUGAGUGCUAGGUGUUAGGGGGUUUCCGCCCCUUAGUGCUGAAGUUAACGCAUUAAGCACUCCGCCUGGGGAGUACGGCC
rnacentral:rRNA from 1 species